UGUCGUUCAAGGCCUUGCUCCUAGCACCAUGGAGGCUGCAUCACAUCUUCACUGGGCUGCUCUCAGGACUGGCCUAGAUCCUCUCCCUCUCUCUCUCUCACAUGCACACACACAACACACACACACACAGUGCUGCUGCCAGGGUCACGGUGAAGUUUGGAAGCCAGGGUAUAGACCGAGUUGAAAGACAACAGCACCUGUCACUUCUGUCCCCACCAUGGAAUGUCUAGAAAUUCCUUCUGGGAACCCCCAGGGGAAGUGAUUGAGACUUCAGGGUGCAAAGAGAAGCUACUGGCCAGACUGCCGGCUGGGAGUGUUUCUUCACCUAGGCAGAUAAGUGCCAUUUGCUAGUGGGGUGUAAAGAAAGUACCUUUGCUGGUGCAGGAAAGCUGAGAGAGCUUGCUUUGUGCCCAGUGCUGUUUUAACUGUCAGGUACAAAUCGUCUCGUCCUUUCCUUCAACCUGGCCCUGAGGCAGGUACAGCUAGUACAAUUUACAGAUUUGUCAGCUGAGGCCUAGAGAGGCCACAUACUUGUUCACCACCCUGCUGGGUUGGGAAUUGGCAAAUGGAACCCCAGGGUCUUUAAAGAGUCCCGUACCUACCUAAGCCAAGUGUCAGUUUUGCUGCCCGUGUGAACCAGACUCCUCCCUACAGGGCAGUAAAGUCCUCUCUCCAGCUUCGUUUGUUCCUGCACUGUCAUUUGGUGCCACCAACUUAUCAGAGACUUCCCUCAGACCUCAACAUGGCGGUGCUGCCACACAUCUGGAAUGUUCUUGGCAACUUAUGUGGUGCACUUUGCAUUGGAAUCGGAAUGCAAAUUAGAGCCUAUAUUUGGUCCCUCGUCUCUCCUCCCAGAAGCACAGGGGAUAUGUUUUAGAGUGAACAGUAGCAGCAGGAAUGUAAAACCAAGGGAGUUUGACUUUCAUUUGUAAAACUUGGAUGAAAUCUUGGUAGAUAAAAAAUUAUAAAAGAGCUUAAGCCACAGGUAUGGCAAUGACAAUGAUAGUCUGUGGCACAGCUUAUUUGUUAUUUGUUCAGAGGUCGGAAUUGCAUUUGAGGAAGAAGGUACUUUAUCCAACAGCUAAACCAAGAAAAGGUUUGUCAACAGUAGACAUCCUGGGGGAGGGAAGGAACCUUGUUAGCAAAUGAUUCACAGAAUUUGUGCUUGUUAUGAAAUAGAGCCCCCCCCAAACACCCCUUUUUAACUUUUUAUUUUUGUAAUAUACAUACAACUCAUAAUUUCUCAUUUUAACCACUUACAAGUGUACAAUUCAGUGGUAUUAAUUACAUUCACAAUAUUCUGCUACCAUCACUCACAUCCAUUACCCAAACUUUUUCAUCACCUCAAACAAAAGCUCUGUACCCAUUAAGCAAUAAUUUCCCAUUCCCCUCACGCCCCCAGCCGCUGGUAACCUAUAAUCUACUGUCUCUGUGAAUUUGCUUACUCUAGGUAUUUCAUGUAAGCAGUAUCACACAGUAUUUGUCCUUUUGUAUCUGGCUUAUUUCACUCAACAUUAUGUAUUCAAGGU